GACGUAGGGCGCGAGCGUUGUCCGGAUUUAUUGGGCGUAAAGAGCUCGUAGGCGGCUUGUCGCGUCGUCCGUGAAAACUUGGGGCUCAACCCCAAGCUUGCGGUCGAUACGGGCAGGCUAGAGUUCGGUAGGGGAGACUGGAAUUCCUGGUGUAGCGGUGAAAUGCGCAGAUAUCAGGAGGAACACCGGUGGCGAAGGCGGGUCUCUGGGCCUGUCCUGACGCUCAGGCGCGAAAGCUAGGGGAGCGAACAGG
rnacentral:rRNA from 1 species